CCUACGGGAGGCAGCAGUGGGGAAUAUUGCACAAUGGAGGAAACCCUGAUGCAGCGACGCCGCGUGAGUGAUGACGUAUCUCUGUACGGAAAGCUCUAUCAGCAGGGAAGAAAAUGACGGUACCUGACUAAGAAGCCCCGGCUAACUACGUGCCAGCAGCCGCAGUAAUACGUAGGGUGCAAGCGUUAUCCGGAUUUACUGGGUGUAAAGGGAGCGUAGACGGCAGCACAAGUCUGUAGUGGAAUCCCGGGGCUUAACCCCGGAACUGCUUUGGAAACUGUGCGGCUGGAGUGCAGGAGGGGUAAGCGGAAUUCCUAGUGUAGCGGUGAAAUGCGUAGAUAUCAGGAGGAACACCGGUGGCGAAGGCGGCUUACUGGACUGUAACUGACGUUGAGGCUCGAAAGCGUGGGGAGCAAACAGGAUUAGAUACCCGAGUAGUC
rnacentral:rRNA from 1 species